rnacentral:misc_RNA from 1 species
GAUGAAGAACGUAGCGAAAUGCGAUAAGUAAUGUGAAUUGCAGAAUUCAGUGAAUCAUCGAAUCUUUGAACGCACAUUGCGCCCGCCAGUAUUCUGGCGGGCAUGCCUGUUCGAGCGUCAUUUCAACCAUCAAGCCCCAGGCUUGUGUUGGGGACCUGCGGCUGCCGCAGGCCCUGAAAACCAGUGGCGGGCUCGCUGUCACACCGGGCGUAGUAGAUUUUAUCUCGCUCAGGGCGUGCUGCGGGUUCCGGCCGUUAAAAAGCCUUUUUUACCCAAGGUUGACCUCGGAUCAGGUAGGAAGACCCGCUGAACUUAAGCAUAUCAAUAAGCGGGAGGA